UACGUAGGGCGCAAGCGUUGUCCGGAAUUAUUGGGCGUAAAGCGCGCGCAGGCGGUCCUUUAAGUCUGAUGUGAAAGCCCACGGCUCAGCCGUGGAGGGUCAUUGGAAACUGGGGGACUUGAGUACAGAAGAGGAAAGCGGAAUUCCACGUGUAGCGGUGAAAUGCGUAGAGAUGUGGAGGAACACCAGUGGCGAAGGCGGCUUUCUGGUCUGUAACUGACGCUGAGGCGCGAAAGCGUGGGGAGCAAACAGG
rnacentral:rRNA from 1 species